AGCAUAUCAAUAAGCGGAGGAAAAGAAACUAACAAGGAUUCCCUUAGUAACUGCGAGUGAAGAGGGAAAAGCUCAAAUUUAAAAUCUGGCAGUGUUUCACUGUCCGAGUUGUAACCUAGAGAAGUGUAACCUGCGCUGGACCGUGUAUAAGUCUCCUGGAAUGGAGCGUCACAGAGGGUGAGAAUCCCGUCUUUGACAUGGACCACCAGUGCAUUGUGGUUGUGCUCUCAACGAGUCGAGUUGUUUGGGAAUGCAGCUCUAAAUGGGUGGUAAAUUCCAUCUAAAGCUAAAUAUUGGCGAGAGACCGAUAGCGAACAAGUACCGUGAGGGAAAGAUGAAAAGAACUUUGGAAAGAGAGUUAAACAGUAUGUGAAAUUGUUGAAAGGGAAACGUUUGAAGUCAGUCGCGUUGGUUGGGGAUCAGCCUGACAUUGUUGGGUUUACUUCCUGGUUGACGGGCCAACAUCAGUUUUGACUGCCAGAAAAAGGCCAAAGGAAUGUGGCACCUUUGGGUGUGUUAUAGCCCUUGGUUGUAUAUGGUGGUUGGGACUGAGGAAAGCAGCGUGCCGAAAGGCCGGGUUUCGACCACGUUCACGCUGAGGAUGUUGGCAUAAUGGCUUUAAGCGACCCGUCUUGAAACACGGACCAAGGAGUCUAACAUGCAUGCGAGUGUUUGGGUGGAAAACCCUUACGCGUAAUGAAAGUGAAAGUUGAGAUCCCUGUCGCGGGGAGCAUCGACGCCCGGACCAGAACUUUUGGGACGGAUCUGCGGUAGAGCACGUAUGUUGGGACCCGAAAGAUGGUGAACUAUGCCUGAAUAGGGUGAAGCCAGAGGAAACUCUGGUGGAGGCUCGUAGCGAUUCUGACGUGCAAAUCGAUCGUCAAAUUUGGGUAUAGGGGCGAAAGACUAAUCGAACCAUCUAGUAGCUGGUUCCUGCC
rnacentral:rRNA from 1 species